GAUGAACGCUGGCGGCGUGCCUAAUACAUGCAAGUCGAGCGAACAGACGAGGAGCUUGCUCCUCUGACGUUAGCGGCGGACGGGUGAGUAACACGUGGAUAACCUACCUAUAAGACUGGGAUAACUUCGGGAAACCGGAGCUAAUACCGGAUAAUAUAUUGAACCGCAUGGUUCAAUAGUGAAAGACGGUUUUGCUGUCACUUAUAGAUGGAUCCGCGCCGCAUUAGCUAGUUGGUAAGGUAACGGCUUACCAAGGCAACGAUGCGUAGCCGACCUGAGAGGGUGAUCGGCCAAACUGGGAAUGAGACAAGGUCCCGACUCCUUCGGGAGGGAGGAGUGGGGAAUUUUUGCGAAUGGGCGGAAGCCUUAACGAGGAAAGGCGCGGGGGGUAAGAAGGGUCUCCGGUUGGUAAACCCUUUUUUUAGGGAAGAAAAAAAUGGGAAGGAAACUGUCCGGGUCUGACGGUACCCGAACAAGAAGGCCCGGCUAACUUCGUG
rnacentral:rRNA from 1 species